rnacentral:rRNA from 1 species
UAUCUCUGUAGAGUCUGCAUAUCAAUAAGCGGAGGAAAAGAAACUAACAAGGAUUCCCUUAGUAACGGCGAGUGAAGCGGGAAGAGCUCAAAUUUGAAAUCUUCAAGGUUCUACCUUGACGAAUUGUAGUUUAAAGAAGUGUUUUCUGUUAGAUGAGUAGCAAAAGUUCCUUGGAAUGGGACAUCAUAGAGGGUGAGAAUCCCGUAUUUGGUUAUUCAUUCUAGCUUUGUGAUACACUUUCAAAGAGUCGGAUUGUUUGGGAAUGCAGUCCAAAAUGGGUGGUAAAUUUCAUCUAAAGCUAAAUAUUGGCGAGAGACCGAUAGCGAACAAGUACCGUGAGGGAAAGAUGAAAAGAACUUUGAAAAGAGAGUUAAACAGUACGUGAAAUUGUCAAAAGGGAAGCGUUUGACACCAGUGUUGUUUUUCCGAAAAUCAAUUACGAAUGGCUUGAUUUUGUGUUGUAUUGACCUUAUCAGCUUUCUGCACUUUUUUCGAGUCUUUCUUAAUUGCACUUUUCGGUUAACAAGUCAACAUCAAUUUCUUUUGUUGUAAAAGAGUAUUCGGAAGGUGGCUUUCUUUUCGGAGAAAGUGUUUAUAGCCCUAUACUUCUACAAUCGGAGAGAUUGAGGUCUGCAGCGUAGAUCCUUCGGGGUUAGAUACACUUGUGCUAAGUUGUAGCUUUUCAUAGACAACUUGUUGACUAUGUUUAGUCAUGCGGCUUACUCGCUUAUGCUAUUUUACCUACGCUUAGGAUGUUGACUGAUAUGUAGUCGUA